AACGAACGCUGGCGGCAUGCCUAACACAUGCAAGUCGAACGAGACCUUCGGGUCUAGUGGCGCACGGGUGCGUAACGCGUGGGAACCUGCCCUUAGGUUCGGAAUAACUCCCCGAAAGGGGUGCUAAUACCGGAUAAUGUCUUCGGACCAAAGAUUUAUCGCCUUUGGAUGGGCCCGCGUUGGAUUAGCUAGUUGGUAGGGUAAAAGCCUACCAAGGCGACGAUCCAUAGCUGGUCUGAGAGGAUGAUCAGCCACACUGGGACUGAGACACGGCCCAGACUCCUACGGGAGGCAGCAGUGGAGAAUAUUGGACAAUGGGCGAAAGCCUGAUCCAGCAAUGCCGCGUGAGUGAUGAAGGCCUUAGGGUUGUAAAGCUCUUUUACCCGGGAUGAUAAUGACAGUACCGGGAGAAUAAGCUCCGGCUAACUCCGU
rnacentral:rRNA from 1 species